rnacentral:rRNA from 1 species
CCUACGGGUGGCAGCAGUGGGGAAUAUUGCUCAAUGGGCGCAAGCCUGAAGCAGCAACGCCGCGUGGAGGAUGAAGGUUUUCGGAUUGUAAACUUCUUUUGUUAGGGAAGAUAAUUACGGUAUGUAACGAAUAAGCACCGGCUAACACCGUGCCAGCAGCCGCGGGAAUACGGCGGGGGCAAGCGUUACUCGGAUUCACUGGGCGUAAUGGGCGCGUAGGCGGGUUAGCAAGUCAGAUGUGAAAUCCUAUGGCUUAACCAUAGAACUGCAUUUGAAACUGUUAUUCUUGAGUACUGGAGAGGCAGGUGGAAUUCGUGGUGUAGCGGUAAAAUGCGUAGAGAUCAAGAGGAAUACUGAUUGCGAAGGCGGCCUGCUAGAACGUAACUGACGCUGAUGCGCGAAAGCGUGGGGAGCAAACAGGAUUAGAUACCCUGGUAGUC